rnacentral:rRNA from 1 species
GACGAACGCUGGCGGCGUGCCUAAUACAUGCAAGUCGAGCGGAACACUUGGAGCUUGCUCCAAGCGUUUAGCGGCGACGGGUGAGUAACACGUGGGCAACCUGCCCUGCAGAUCGGGAUAACUCCGGGAAACCGGUGCUAAUACCGAAUAGUUUGAGGCCUCUCCUGAGGCUUCACGGAAAGACGGUUUCGGCUGUCACUGCAGGAUGGGCCCGCGGCGCAUUAGCUAGUUGGUGGGGUAACGGCCCACCAAGGCCACGAUGCGUAGCCGACCUGAGAGGGUGACCGGCCACACUGGGACUGAGACACGGCCCAGACUCCUACGGGAGGCAGCAGUAGGGAAUCUUCCGCAAUGGACGCAAGUCUGACGGAGCAACGCCGCGUGAGUGACGAAGGUUUUCGGAUCGCAAAACUCUGUUGUGAGGGAAGAACACGUACCAACUAACUAUGUACCUUGACGGUACCUCACCACGAAAGACCACGGCUAACUACGUAGCCAGCAGCCGCGGUAACG